rnacentral:rRNA from 1 species
GACGAACCGUGCGAACGUUGUUCGGAUUCACUGGGCUUAAAGGGCGCGUAGGCGGGCGGCAACGUCGGGGGGUGAAAUCUCACGGCCCAACCGUGAAACGGCCUCCGAUACGGGCCGCCUCGAGGGAGGUAGGGGCACGCGGAACUUCCGGUGGAGCGGUGAAAUGCGUAGAUAUCGGAAGGAACGCCGGUGGCGAAAGCGGCGUGCUGGGCCUUCUCUGACGCUGAGGCGCGAAAGCCAGGGGAGCGAACGGG